rnacentral:rRNA from 1 species
GCUAACGGCCAUACCACCGGCAACGCCCGAUCUAGUCUGAUCUCGGAAGCUAAGCAGUGGUAGGGCCAGGUUAGUACUUGGAGGGAGACCUCCUGGGAAUACCGGGUGUGGUAGGCU